rnacentral:rRNA from 1 species
UACGGAGGGGGCUAGCGUUGUUCGGAAUUACUGGGCGUAAAGCGCGCGUAGGCGGACCUGCAAGUCGGGGGUGAAAGCCCGAGGCUCAACCUCGGAACUGCCUUCGAUACUGCGGGUCUCGAGUCCGGGAGAGGGAUGUGGAAUUCCAGGUGUAGCGGUGAAAUGCGUAGAUAUCUGGAGGAACACCGGUGGCGAAGGCGGCAUCCUGGACCGGUAUUGACGCUGAGGCGCGAAAGCCAGGGGAGCAAACGGG